rnacentral:rRNA from 1 species
AGCAGCCGCCGCGGUAAUACGUAGGUGGCAAGCGUUGUCCGGAAUUAUUGGGCGUAAAGCGCGCGCAGGUGGUUUAAUAAGUCUGAUGUGAAAGCCCACGGCUCAACCGUGGAGGGUCAUUGGAAACUGUUAAACUUGAGUGCAGGAGAGAAAAGUGGAAUUCCUAGUGUAGCGGUGAAAUGCGUAGAGAUUAGGAGGAACACCAGUGGCGAAGGCGACUCUCUGGUCUGUAACUGACGCUGAGGAGCGAAAGCGUGGGGAGCGAACAGGAUUAGAUACCCCAGUAGUCCCUGUCUCUUAUAC